CGAGAGUGGGUUGUCGGCCCACAAGUUCUCAGUGGAAAUUGCUCGCGCUUGUACUUUAGCUUUACUCCGCCAUGUUGUAACCCUGCGGAAGUCGCUUGACAGUGCGGUCUCCUGGUUCUGAACUUCCCAGCUUUCAAACCCGUCUGUCUUCUUGCUACACCGGGAGCCCUCGCUCUGCCCAUCUGUGUAGGAGUUUGGGUAUUGUGACUUGCAGACUUCCCUGAAGUCAACUGUUGCCUGCCUGGAUCUUGGGAGAAUGCCACCUCCCAGAAGCCUGCCACUGUGUGACUCUCCUGACCCUGGUUUCUUCAGUAGACCUCAGAUUUUUGGUGCAAGGAAACCAGAACAGAAGCAAAGCGGCUGGAACUUGAACCACAUUCCAGUGGUGAGUGCUCGCCAGCACCACAAGUAGCAGUAGCUCGCUGCUGUGCCACGAUGCUGCCCCUGACUCCAAUUUUGUUUUUACAUAUGGGAAGGGGCUUCAGAAAAAUUCAUGGAAGAUGCGUGUUGUAUGGAAAAACUAUGUGUAGAUUUCAAAAACAUUUUUGUACCAUAAUAAACUUAUCUUUUAUUUUUCCACUAAUUUUUGAAGUACCCUCAUGUACAUGCAUAUCCAGGAAAAAAAUAACACUGAAAUGAUAUACCCCAAAAUAUUGACAGUGUCUACUUAUGAAUGUCAUGAUAAUACUUUAUUUAUACUCUCUAAAGUUCCUACAAAGUUUGUGCUACUUUUAUAAUCAGAAAGUCAAUAAUGUUUUUAAUGCAUGGCAAAUAAAAAGACUAGAAGUAAAUCACAAAACUAUUAACAGUGGUUACUUCUAGAUUGAGAUUUAGGGGAAGUUUUUACCUUUUUAAGCUUCUGAUAUUUCUAAACAUCUGCACUGAUUGCAUGUUGUUUUAUAAUUCAAAAAAGAAGAAAUUCGUUUUCUAAAGAUCUGUAAUACAAUUCUCUAGUCCUAGAGGACAGAACUCCCCCUUCCAGAGCAGUGUCCAGAGACCUGUCUGCUUGCAUUCAUUUAGGGUGAUAAUGUUUCAAGUUCAGUAACUGGCUGAAGCAACCAUCAGUGCAGAAUUAUUAAGUGGCUCCUCCAGCCCUGGCUCCUUCUCCUGGCUCGGUGCCUUAGUGCUGCUGGGAAUGCCAAGGACUGGGAGGGUUUGCAGGGGCCAGUGUGAGACGCUUUCAUAACUGUCCUUUAGUUGAUUGAAAGGGAAAAUAAUGCAAUGCUAUCCUGUUAAUGUGAUUCUUUAUUCAGCAUGUUGACAAUUUCAAAUGUACUUGAAAUGUACUUCUGAGCUUAUCAGGAUAGCAUGCUUUCCAAAAUAUGGGCUCUACAAUCCAAGGGAUCUGAGUUUGAGCCCUGACUGUGCCACCUGCCAGCUGUGUGACCCUGUGUGACAUGUUGCCUCAUCUCUUUACACUUUACACUUCACUUUCUUGAAAAUCCUGAUGGCACUACCUAUAACCCAGAACUGUCAUGAUAAUUGAGAAAAUUCAUGAUAGCAUAUCUGUGGGCCUUAAUACAAGUAAGCUACUAUCCUCCUCCUCAUCAUUAUCACCACUGGGUCAAACAGUGUCCUAGCUGAUAGUUCGAGUUCUGACUCUGUAGGAACUCACCAAAUGAAGCCUCCAAACAAAUGAAACAUUAAAAUGACAUUGAGUAGAGAAAUCGGAACCCUCAUAUACUGUCUAUACAAUGGGCAGCCACUCUGGAAGACAGCCUGGCGAUUCAUGACAGCACUGAACACAGUUACCCUGAACCCAGGAGUUCCCUCUUAGGUGUCCACCCAAGAUAAAUGAAAAUGAGUGCCCCACGUUAUAGCAUUACUCACAAUAGCAAAAAAGUAGAAACAGCCCAAAUGUCCACCAGCUGAAGAACAGAUCAUUACCGUGUGGCCCGUCCACACAGUGGGAUGUGAUUUGGCAAUAAAAAGCAAUGAAGUCCUGACGCAGCCUCAGUGUGGAGUAACCUUGAAAACACUAUGCUAAUUGAAGUAUGCCAGUCAUUAAAAACCACAUAUGAUGCGGUGUUUAGUAUCUUUAAAGAUUUAUGUAUUUAUUUGAAAGGCUGAGUGACAGAGAGAAAAGGAGAGAGACAGAGAAAGAGAGAGAUCUUCCAUCCAAGAUUUACUCCUCAAAUGGUUGCAAUGACUGGGGCUUGGCCAGGCCAUAGCUAGGAGCUGCAGAUUCCAUGCAGUGGUCCAAGUACUUAAGCCAUCUCCCAUUGUCUGCAGGUGCAUUAGCAGGAAGCUGGAUCAGAAGUGAGGCAGCUGGGACUCAAACAGGUGCUCAGAUAUGGGAUGUCAGCAUUGAGAGCAGCGGCUUGGGGCCAGCACUGUGGCUCACUUGGUUAAUCCUCUGCCUGCGGCGUCAGCAUCUAAUAUGGGCACUGGGUUCUAGUCCCGGUUGCUCCUCUUCCAGUCCAGCUCUCUGCUGUGGCCCGGGGAAAGCAGUGGAGGAUGGCCCAAGUGCCUGGGCCCCUGCACCCACAUGGGAGACCAGGAGGAAGCACCUGCCUCCUGGCUUCGGAUCGGCAUAGCUCUGGCUGUGGCAGCCAUUUGGGGAGAGAACCAACAGAAGGAAGACCUUUCUUUCUGUCUGUCUCUCUGUCUAUGACUCUACCUGUCAAAAAAAAAAAAAAAAAAAAAAAGCAAGUAAGCGGCGGUUUAACCAACUGCACCAUAUUUAACAUUUUUAUUGAUUUUUAUUGAUUUUUGCUUAUUCGAAAAGCACAGCAACAAAGAGAGAAAGGGAAGAAAAGAGAGGGAGAGACCACAGGUUCACUCCCCAAUUUCCCAUUACAGCCAGGUCUGGGCCAGGCUGGAAUUCAGUCUUGGUCUCUCACAUGGGAGGCAGGGACCUAGAGAUACUUGAGCCAUCACCUGGUGUGCAUUAAUGACAAACUGGAUCCGAAGCAGGGCCAAGGCUUGAACCCAGCGACUCUGAUACAGCACACAGGUGUGCCACUGCAGCAAACAUUUGCCCCACAUUAUUCCAUUUAUAUGAAAUGUCUAGAAUCUAAAUCUAUAGAGAAAAAAUAUCUAUAGCAAAUCUAAGGAGAAAGAAAGUAGAUUAGGGGCCGGCGCUGUGGCAUAGCGGGUAAAGCCACCACCUGCAGUGCCAGCAUCCCACAUGGGUGCCAGUUCGAGUCCCAGCUGCUCCAUUUCCAGUCCAUCUCUCUGUUAUGGUCUGGGAAAGCAGUAGAGGAUUGCCUAAGUCCUUGGGCCCCUGCACCCGUGUGGGGAGACCCAGAAGAAGCUCCUGGCUCCUGGCUUGGAUCGGCCCUGCUCUGGCCAUUGAGGCCAUCUGGGGAGUGAACCAAUAAUGAAAGACUCUCUUUCUCUCUCUCUCUCUCUCUCUCUCUCUCUCUCUCUCUCUCUCUCUCUCCCCCUCUCCCUAUCCCUCUUCCUCUCCCUCUCUCCCUCCCUCUCCUGCCUCUUUAUAACUCUGCCUUUCAAAUAAAUAAAUCUUUAAAAAAAAUAAUAAACACUGAUCACUUUUGAAAAAAAUUAGGUUAGUGUUUUCGAGAGCUGACAGGGAGGUAGGGAGAGGGACUGAUAGCUAAGGGCACUGGAUUUUUCUGCAGGUGAUGAAAAUGUUCUAAAGUUGAUUGUGAUGAUGACCUCACAGCUUUGUGAAUAGACUAAAAAUCACAGAAUAGCAGCCUUCAAAGGGAUGAAUUGUAUGGUGUGUGAGUUCUAUCUGAAUAAAUCUGUUACCCCAAAAAAUGGCAUUGUUAGAUGUAGACAUUUGAAUCACAGUGCAUUAUCAUGAGGUUAACAAUACGACUGGGACAAGGCUAUGUAAUUAGCCAGCUGGGAAAUACAGGGUCUGGCCACACCGUCCCAAUCUUUUCCCAGUGCUGUCUGGGGUUUGUCAUCCAAUGGUUGCUGUCCACUUCAGCUUGCAUGUUGAUGGGAAUUCCUUGGGAGUGGGGUAUAACAGACAGUUGUUCUGUUGCAUUGGCCCAAUUCAGACAGAUUAGGCUGAGAGAACCCUUCCCCAGCCAGCACCCCGUCCAUCCCACGCACCCUCCUGUUCUCUGUUACAUAUGACCUUUGUCCAGCAUUAUCAUGGGGCAAAUAGGCUAUAUAAUAGGACCAUAUUUAUACUUCUGUAUCUGCCCGUGUGAGUAAAAAAUUUCACAUGUAAAAGAUACAUGCAUGAAAGAGAAUCAGAAAGAUAGUUUCUCCUAUUCCUGUGAUGUCUCUCAUAAAAAAGAUAAACUCCAUUUUAAAUCAUAAACAAUGGGGAAAAUGUGGGUGUGGAUGCCAUUCACAUUAUUCAAAUUCUUUUUAACUUUAUAAAAUGAGCUUUUCUCCUAAUUUUCCAAUUUCUUCUAAUAGAUCACUCUGCUAUAAAAGCAUAUGAUUUGUCCACCUUAUCUCUCCAUGAUUCAUAGAAAACAUUGAAAAAAUAAGAAAUAUUUCAAGGAAAGAAGGAGCUUUCAUUUUUGAGUUGCCUGUCCCCAUAGACCAGUUUGCCAGUGUGCCGUGUGUCCCACUGAGUCACAGUCUGCCAGUUGCACACACUAUGGUUUUAGAAACAAGGGUGCCACCACGGAAGGGUUUACUUGUGACUUAGUGGAGAGCCUCAUGCAAAGGGACACAGAUCACGCAGUGACCCUAAGAAACAUGAGAAGUGUGACUUCUAGGAAGAGGGAAUUCUAGACACCUCGAUUUGAAUGACAAGAAAUAUUGCACCUGGCUCCUGGCUUCGGAUCAGCGCGGUGCGCCGGCCGCGGUGGCCAUUGAGGGGUGAACCAACGGAAAAAGGAAGACCUUUCUCUCGGUCUUUCUCUCUCACUGUCCACUCUGCCUGUCAAAAAAAAAACAAA